rnacentral:rRNA from 1 species
GAUCAUGGCUCAGGAUGAACGCUAGCUACAGGCUUAACACAUGCAAGUUGAGGGGCAGCAUGAACUUAGCUUGCUAAGUUUGAUGGCGACCGGCGCACGGGUGAGUAACACGUAUCCAACCUUCCGUUUACUCAGGGAUAGCCUUUCGAAAGAAAGAUUAAUACCUGAUAGUAUGGUGAGAUUGCAUGAUAACACCGUUAAAGAUUUAUUGGUAAACGAUGGGGAUGCGUUCCAUUAGGUAG